rnacentral:lncRNA from 1 species
UGCUGCGUGCUGCAUGCUGGGUGCUGCGUGCUGCUGCGUGCUGCGUGCUGCACAUCCCCACCAUGCCCACGUACCCAUCCCCACCAUGGCCAUGGAACCAUCACGGUUGGAAAAGUCCUCCAAGACCCCCAAGUCCAAUCCCCCCAUCACCGCUGUGCCCAUGGAACCAUCCAGGUUGGGGAAGUCCUCCAAGACCCCCACCAUGCCCAACCCCAACCCAUCCCCACCAUGCCCACAGAACCAUCCAGGUUGGGAUGGUCCUCCAAGACCCCCAAGUCUGACCCCGAAGUCCGACACCCUUCCANCACCAUGCCCACAGAACCAUCCAGGUUGGGAUGGUCCUCCAAGACCCCCAAGUCUGACCCCGAAGUCCGACACCCUUCCAUUGCUGCCAUGCCCACGGAACCAUCCAGGUUGGGGAGGUCCUCCAAGACCCCCAAGUCCAACCCCCUUCCAUCCCCACCCUGCCCAUAGAACCAUCCAGGUUGGGAAGGUCCUCCAAGACCCCCAAGUCCAACCCCCUUCCAUCCCCACCCUGCCCACAGAACCAUCCAGGUUGGAAAGAUCCUCCAAGAGCCCCAAGUCCGACCCCAACCCAUCCCCACUGUGCCCAUAGAACCAUCCAGGUUGGAAAGGUCCUCCAAGACCCUCACCAUGCCCAUAGAACCAUCACGGUUGGAAAGGUCCUUCAAGACCCCCAAGUCCAACCCCCUUCCAUCCCCACCAUGGCCAUGGAACCAUCCAGGUUGGGAAGGUCCUCCAAGACCCCCAAGUCUGACCCCAGCCCAUCCCCACUGUGCCCAUAGAACCAUCCAGGUUGGAAAGGUCCUCCAAGACCCCCAAGUCCAACCCCCUCCCAUCCCCACCGUGCCCAUAAAACCAUCCAGGUGGGGAAGGUCCUCCAAGACCCCCACCAUGCCCAACCCCAACCCAUCCCCACCAUGGCCACAGAACCAUCAAGGUUGGGAAGGUCCUCCAAGACCCCCAAGUCCAACCCCCUUCCAUCCCCACCAUGGCCACAGAACCAUCCAGGUUGGAAAGGUCCUUCAAGACCCCCAAGUGUGACCCCUCCCAUCACCGCUGUGCCCACAGAACCAUCCAGGUGGGGAAGGUCCUCCAAGACCCCCAAGUCCAACCCCCUCCCAUUGCUGCCGUGCCCAUAGAACCAUCCAGGUUGGAAAGAUCCUCCAAGACCCCCAAGUCUGACCCCAACCCAUCGCCUCCGUGCCCACAGAACCAUCCAGGUUGGGAAGGUCCUCCAAGACCCCCAAGUCCAACCCCCUCCCAUCCCCACCGUGCCCAUAGAACCAUCCAGGUUGGAAAGAUCCUCCAACACCCCCAAGUCCAACCUCCUCCCAUCCCCACCGUGCCCAUA